GUGGAGGUCAGGCCAGAACUCCUGUUAGCUCACUUGGCUGCCCAGUACCAGAGUCCUGCUGGCGUGCAGCAGUGACAUGUGACACUUUGGAUGGUGUCGCUGUUCUGUUUAGCACAAUUUGAAGGAUUGCAGGGAGCUGGUGGAGGUGGAGCUCAGUAGAGUUGAUGCACUACAGCGAAAAGGAAUGUUUGUAGUGCAAAAGCAAGCUCUGCUUUACAUGGACAGAAAUGUGGGAGCAGAAAGCUUUGGCUUUCAGGUAACGGCCCGAAAUUUAGUGAGUUUUGAGAACCUCCAUUCCACUCUGAUUCGAAUCAAAGGCCACUUGCCAAAGACUCGAAGACUUUCACCUUCCUUUCAGUUACUUUUCCCAGGUGCAGCGGUGGGCGGCAGAGAGGGCAGGACACAGCGAGAGUGACGACGCGCCGGGAGGGAGGUACCGCCGGCGGCCGGAGCAAUGCCGGCCCGGCCCGCCUGGUGGCAAGCUGCUUUCACUGGAAGUGCCUCCGUUCAUCAGAAAAAUGCUGUCCAGAGAUUAGUCCAGUGAGCAGGACUCUGAAUUUGAACUUGAAACCAGCACUGAGUUCCCAGUUCAGCCACCGAAUGUCUUUCUACCUGAAGAGCCAAGGCGAAAUUCAGGUCUAUCUGCACGAGCCCGGAUGCCGGGAGAGCAGCCGGCAGGAGGAGCUCGCUGGACACGUCGCUGGAUCGUUCCCAGGCAGUCACAGACACAUGAUUCAAGGGCAUCGCUUUAGAUCUGCCUUCUUGGGACUUGAAGACAAACCAUCGGAGCAGAACACAGAGGAAACUUCGUGGUAUUGCAACCGAGAAGCCCCAGUGAUUUAUAUUAAUAUUUUUUUAGACUUUGCUCAGCUUGUUUUUCCCACCAUGAUGCUUUUAUCUGUCAUCUUUUUAGAUACUUAAGGUGUUCAGGAAGAUACUGAGAUGCCUUUUAGUCCCUAGAAGUGGCCAACUGUUUUAUUUUCCAAGAAAGCUAGUGUAAGAUUUCUUGGACAGCAUUCUAACCACAGAGUAAAGAAUUCAAAAACAAUGUUUGUCUUAGCAUAGGAAGUUAUCCUCCUGGAGUCCUCAUGACCUCUGAGAGGACCUGCAAGUAAAAAGCUCUGAAACCUAUCAGUACCACUCUGAUUAUUGGCUUGACAAAGUUAUUCAAACAGUUCUGCCCCCUUGUAUGCAGUUCACCUAUGUCUUCUGUGAGAAGCGGGCACAGAGGACAGUAGUAGCUCUUUUGCACAGCACAGUGUUCUCAUUAGUUAGGUGCAAAGUGUCACUCUGCUUCUUAGGGCCAGUCCUGCAGCCCUGAAUUUCACAACCUCCAUGCUUGUGCCUCUGCACCACCUUUAAAAUAAUUAAGAUUUUUUUUAAUUGGUGAAUUCUUUGCUUUUGUAAGUCUGUCCCUCAUUUAGUUACUAAAUGGGAGCUGGGUGCCUUCUGGUCCUGAAGGUUGCUGUAAUAAUUAUUUUGAUUCUGAAUGUGCCAGAAACUAUUCUAAUGCAUAUCAGUGUAAAUUAAGUCAAUAGAGAUUCUUCAAAUUUAUCCUGGUGUUCAAGAGAAUGGAAUUCAUGCACUUCAAUUUACAGCUUAUUAAGUGAUCAGAAUUAAUGAACUUGCAAUGACCUUUUCUGUUCUUGUUUACACAUUUUCUUCCUAUUCACUCAUAAUGUACAUGAUUUGGAAAAUGUAGAGAGUUGAAAAGGCAGCGUGUGGGUCAGAUAUGUCCCAUGGAGCACAGCAUUGUGCUUCAGGCUUUAAUCAUAUUUUCAAAGCUGCAGUGUAGAAAUGGCAUCUCUGCUGAUGCUCAGAAACCCAGCUUAAUUUUUAGAACCCUCUCUGCAUUCUUAAAGCUAGAAAAACAUUUGUACUGAGGAGCAGUAAAGGUGUUCUUCAGAAUCACUGGAUAGAUGCUGAACAAUCUUUUUUUUUAGCAUUAUUUUUCAGUGUAGUACUAUAUUUCAGCCUGGAGGUUGGGAAUAAUACAAACCAUUGGAUCCAUCUUUCAUUUUAUUCUGAGAUUUGGAAAUCACUUGGGAUGUCACCAAGAAAACCUCACAUAAACACUCUUUUUCCUAAGACCAGCUGAACAUUAUUCCACUAUGAUUCAGCUCAAUGUUUGAUGAAAGUUUCCCUUUGAUUUGCCUAAGGCUAAACUAUGACUAUGACUAAGGCUAAACUUGUGAGGCUGUGUGCUCAUCUGGUCAUUGUUUCUCUCUGACUUCAUAGUAUAGGAUGACUUCUAAAUGCUUCAUCUGAUCAACUACAAAAAUUUCAGCGAUUUUCUAUUAUUACUGUAAGAGGGAAUGCCACUAAUUUCUAGAAAUACUAGGAAAUCAAAAAGGGAGAAUUGUGAAGCAGCAGUGAUUUAGGUACCACUGCACUUGAAGGUGUGAAGCAACUGGGUGAUAGCUCUCGCAUACCAAUACCUUUAUCUCAUCUCUGUCUAUUGUUCUAGAAAUGUUAUGUGAGCACACAGAAAGAUCUGUCCCCAGAUAAACACAGGGCUUGUGCAGCAACCUCUGCAGAAUUGAAGAAGAAUCGAGAUCCAAAGUUAGAAGGAAAAAGAAGCCCAGAUGUGAGGGAGUUAAGGGUGCUCUGCUAGAGGAGUAAUGUAAGCAUGCACAGGAACACUGACAGUGACAUUUAGAGAACCCAUUUACUCAGGGAGUGGAGGUAGAUGGGGCAUUAAAAUGCUAUUGUAAGAGAGAAUAAGAGAUUCCUGAAGAGGAAAACGCUGCUAUCACAGCAACACAAUCUGCUUGAGGGCAUGCACGUGCCCCAGACAUUGCCAGGGGAGCUGAGAAGCUUGAGAAGGUGGCAUAAGAGGCACAUGUACAGGGGGGUGUGAGGCUUAUGGUAUAAAUCCCUGUAUGGGAGAGCAAAAUCUUCAAAGGAAUGGGUGUCGAUAAUAAACUGCCCACAAGAAAUGAGAAAUAGAGGGCA
rnacentral:lncRNA from 1 species